UACGUAGGGGGGCAAGCGUUGUCCGGAUUUAUUGGGCGUAAAGCGCGUGUAGGCGGCUGGGUAGGUCCGCUGUGAAAACUCGAGGCUCAACCUCGAGACGUCGGCGGAAACCAUCCAGCUAGAGUCCGGAAGAGGAGAGUGGAAUUCCUGGUGUAGCGGUGAAAUGCGCAGAUAUCAGGAAGAACACCCGUGGCGAAAGCGGCUCUCUGGGGACGGUACUGACGCUGAGACGCGAAAAGCGUGGGGGAGCGAACAGG
rnacentral:rRNA from 1 species